CCUACGGGAGGCUGCAGUGGGGAAUAUUGGACAAUGGGCGGAAGCCUGAUCCAGCGAUGCCGCGUGUGUGAAGAAGGCCUGCGGGUUGUAAAGCACUUUCGGUGGGGAGGCGUUACCCACAUAAGAAGCACCGGCUAACUCUGUGCCAGCAGCCGCGGUAAUACAGAGGGUGCGAGCGUUAAUCGGAAUUACUGGGCGUAAAGGGUGCGUAGGUGGUUUGAUAAGUUAGGUGUGAAAGUCCUGGGCUUAACCUGGGGAUUGCGCUUAAGACUGUCGAGCUAGAGUACUGUAGAGGAAGGUGGAAUUUCCGGUGUAGCAGUGAAAUGCGUAGAUAUCGGAAGGAACAUCAGUGGCGAAGGCGACUUUCUGGACAGAACUGACACUGAGGCACGAAAGCGUGGGGAGCAAACAGGAUUAGAUACCCUUGUAGUC
rnacentral:rRNA from 1 species